rnacentral:rRNA from 1 species
CCAGUAGGCGGCCAACUAAGUCCGACGUGAAAUCCCAAGGCUUAACCUUGGAACUGCGUCGGAUACUGGAUGGCUUGAAUUCGGGAGAGGGAUGCAGAAUUCCAGGUGUAGCGGUGAAAUGCGUAGAUAUCUGGAGGAAUACCGGUGGCGAAGGCGGCAUCCUGGACCGACAUUGACGCUGAACGGCGAAAGCUAGGGGAGCAAACG